GCAUAUCAAUAAGCGGAGGAAAAGAAACCAACAGGGAUUGCCCUAGUAACGGCGAGUGAAGCGGCAACAGCUCAAAUUUGAAAGCUGGCCUUCGGGUCCGCGUUGUAAUUUGCAGAGGAAGCUUUGGGCGCGGCGCUGUCUGAGUCCCCUGGAACGGGGCGCCAAAGAGGGUGAGAGCCCCGUAUAGACGGAUGCCUAGCCUGUGUAAAGCUCCUUCGACGAGUCGAGUAGUUUGGGAAUGCUGCUCAAAAUGGGAGGUAAAUUUCUUCUAAAGCUAAAUACCGGCCAGAGACCGAUAGCGCACAAGUAGAGUGAUCGAAAGAUGAAAAGCACUUUGAAAAGAGGGUUAAAUAGCACGUGAAAUUGUUGAAAGGGAAGCGCUUGUGACCAGACUUGCGCCGGGCUGAUCAUCCGGUGUUCUCACCGGUGCACUCUGCCCGGCUCAGGCCAGCAUCGGUUCUCGCGGGGGGAGAAAGGCUUAGGGAAUGUAGCUCCUCCGGGAGUGUUAUAGCCCUCUGCGUAAUACCCUCGCGGGGACCGAGGUCUGCGCUCUGCAAGGAUGCUGGCGUAAUGGUCAUCAGCGACCCGUCUUGAAACACGGACCAAGGAGUCAAGGUUUUGCGCGAGUGUUUGGGUGUAAAACCCGCACGCGUAAUGAAAGUGAACGUAGGUGAGAGCUUCGGCGCAUCAUCGACCGAUCCUGAUGUACUCGGAUGGAUUUGAGUAAGAGCGUUAAGCCUUGGACCCGAAAGAUGGUGAACUAUGCUUGGAUAGGGUGAAGCCAGAGGAAACUCUGGUGGAGGCUCGCAGCGGUUCUGACGUGCAAAUCGAUCGUCAAAUCUAGCAUGGGGGGCGAAAGACUAAUCGAACCAUCUAGUAGCUGGUUACCCGCCGAAG
rnacentral:rRNA from 1 species